UACGUAGGGUGCGAGCGUUGUCCGGAAUUAUUGGGCGUAAAGAGCUUGUAGGCGGUUUGUCGCGUCUGCCGUGAAAGUCCGGGGCUCAACUCCGGAUCUGCGGUGGGUACGGGCAGACUAGAGUGAUGUAGGGGAGACUGGAAUUCCUGGUGUAGCGGUGAAAUGCGCAGAUAUCAGGAGGAACACCGAUGGCGAAGGCAGGUCUCUGGGCCACUACUGACGCUGAGAAGCGAAAGCAUGGGGAGCGAACAGG
rnacentral:rRNA from 1 species